rnacentral:rRNA from 1 species
GGGUUGUGAGGUUAAGCGACUAAGCGUACACGGUGGAUGCCCUGGCAGUCAGAGGCGAUGAAGGGCGUACUAAUCUGCGAUAAGCGCCGGUAAGGUGAUAUGAACCGUUAUAACCGGCGAUACCCGAAUGGGGAAACCCAGUGUGAUUCGUCACACUAUCAUUAACUGAAUCCAUAGGUUAAUGAGGCGAACCGGGGGAACUGAAACAUCUAAGUACCCCGAGGAAAAGAAAUCAACCGAGAUUCCCCCAGUAGCGGCGAGCGAACGGGGAGGAGCCCAGAGCCUGAAUCAGCAUGUGUGUUAGUGGAAGCGUCUGGAAAGGCGCGCGAUACAGGGUGACAGCCCCGUACACAAAAGCGCAUGUGCUGUGAGCUCGAUGAGUAGGGCGGGACACGUGGUAUCCUGUCUGAAUAUGGGGGGACCAUCCUCCAAGGCUAAAUACUCCUGACUGACCGAUAGUGAACCAGUACCGUGAGGGAAAGGCGAAAAGAACCCCGGCGAGGGGAGUGAAAAAGAACCUGAAACCGUGUACGUACAAGCAGUGGGAGCACAGGUUUACCUGUGUGACUGCGUACCUUUUGUAUAAUGGGUCAGCGACUUAUAUUCUGUAGCAAGGUUAACCGAAUAGGGGAGCCGGAGGGAAACCGAGUCUUAAUUGGGCGUUAAGUUGCAGGGUAUAGACCCGAAACCCGGUGAUCUAGCCAUGGGCAGGUUGAAGGUUGGGUAACACUAACUGGAGGACCGAACCGACUAAUGUUGAAAAAUUAGCGGAUGACCUGUGGCUGGGGGUGAAAGGCCAAUCAAACCGGGAGAUAGCUGGUUCUCCCCGAAAGCUAUUUAGGUAGCGCCUCGUGAAUUCAUCUCCGGGGGUAGAGCACUGUUUCGGCUAGGGGGCCAUCCCGGCUUACCAACCCGAUGCAAACUGCGAAUACCGGAGAAUGUUAUCACGGGAGACACACGGCGGGUGCUAACGUCCGUCGUGAAGAGGGAAACAACCCAGACCGCCAGCUAAGGUCCCAAAGUCAUGGUUAAGUGGGAAACGAUGUGGGAAGGCCCAGACAGCCAGGAUGUUGGCUUAGAAGCAGCCAUCAUUUAAAGAAAGCGUAAUAGCUCACUGGUCGAGUCGGCCUGCGCGGAAGAUGUAACGGGGCUAAACCAUGCACCGAAGCUGCGGCAGCGACGCUUAUGCGUUGUUGGGUAGGGGAGCGUUCUGUAAGCCUGCGAAGGUGGCCUGUGAGGGUUGCUGGAGGUAUCAGAAGUGCGAAUGCUGACAUAAGUAACGAUAAAGCGGGUGAAAAGCCCGCUCGCCGGAAGACCAAGGGUUCCUGUCCAACGUUAAUCGGGGCAGGGUGAGUCGACCCCUAAGGCGAGGCCGAAAGGCGUAGUCGAUGGGAAACGGGUUAAUAUUCCCGUACUUGGUGUUACUGCGAAGGGGGGACGGAGAAGGCUAUGUUGGCCGGGCGACGGUUGUCCCGGUUUAAGCGUGUAGGUGUGUGUUCCAGGUAAAUCCGGUUCACUUUAACACUGAGGCGUGACGACGAGGCACUACGGUGCUGAAGCAACAAAUGCCCUGCUUCCAGGAAAAGCCUCUAAGCAUCAGGUAACAUCAAAUCGUACCCCAAACCGACACAGGUGGUCAGGUAGAGAAUACCAAGGCGCUUGAGAGAACUCGGGUGAAGGAACUAGGCAAAAUGGUGCCGUAACUUCGGGAGAAGGCACGCUGACACGUAGGUGAAGUGAUUUACUCAUGGAGCUGAAGUCAGUCGAAGAUACCAGCUGGCUGCAACUGUUUAUUAAAAACACAGCACUGUGCAAACACGAAAGUGGACGUAUACGGUGUGACGCCUGCCCGGUGCCGGAAGGUUAAUUGAUGGGGUCAGCGCAAGCGAAGCUCCUGAUCGAAGCCCCGGUAAACGGCGGCCGUAACUAUAACGGUCCUAAGGUAGCGAAAUUCCUUGUCGGGUAAGUUCCGACCUGCACGAAUGGCGUAAUGAUGGCCAGGCUGUCUCCACCCGAGACUCAGUGAAAUUGAACUCGCUGUGAAGAUGCAGUGUACCCGCGGCAAGACGGAAAGACCCCGUGAACCUUUACUAUAGCUUGACACUGAACAUUGAGCCCUUGAUGUGUAGGAUAGGUGGGAGGCUUUGAAGUGUGGACGCCAGUCUGCAUGGAGCCGACCUUGAAAUACCACCCUUUAAUGUUUGAUGUUCUAACGUGGACCCGUUACCCGGGUUGCGGACAGUGUCUGGUGGGUAGUUUGACUGGGGCGGUCUCCUCCUAAAGAGUAACGGAGGAGCACGAAGGUUGGCUAAUCCUGGUCGGACAUCAGGAGGUUAGUGCAAUGGCAUAAGCCAGCUUGACUGCGAGCGUGACGGCGCGAGCAGGUGCGAAAGCAGGUCAUAGUGAUCCGGUGGUUCUGAAUGGAAGGGCCAUCGCUCAACGGAUAAAAGGUACUCCGGGGAUAACAGGCUGAUACCGCCCAAGAGUUCAUAUCGACGGCGGUGUUUGGCACCUCGAUGUCGGCUCAUCACAUCCUGGGGCUGAAGUAGGUCCCAAGGGUAUGGCUGUUCGCCAUUUAAAGUGGUACGCGAGCUGGGUUUAGAACGUCGUGAGACAGUUCGGUCCCUAUCUGCCGUGGGCGCUGGAGAACUGAGGGGGGCUGCUCCUAGUACGAGAGGACCGGAGUGGACGCAUCACUGGUGUUCGGGUUGUCAUGCCAAUGGCACUGCCCGGUAGCUAAAUGCGGAAGAGAUAAGUGCUGAAAGCAUCUAAGCACGAAACUUGCCCCGAGAUGAGUUCUCCCUGAGACUUAAAGUCUCCUGAAGGAACGUUGAAGACGACGACGUUGAUAGGCCGGGUGUGUAAGCGCAGCGAUGCGUUGAGCUAACCGGUACUAAUGAACCGUGAGGCUUAACCUUACAACGCCGAAG